CCUACGGGAGGCAGCAGUAGGGAAUAUUGGUCAAUGGACGCAAGUCUGAACCAGCCAUGCCGCGUGAAGGAUUAAGGCCCUCUGGGUUGUAAACUUCUUUUAUAGGGGACGAAAAAAGGGCAUUCUUGCUCACUUGACGGUACCCUAGGAAUAAGCACCGGCUAACUCCGUGCCAGCAGCCGCGGUAAUACGGAGGGUGCAAGCGUUAUCCGGAUUUACUGGGUUUAAAGGGUGCGUAGGUGGGUUGGUAAGUCAGUGGUGAAAUCUUCGAGCUUAACUCGGAAACUGCCAUUGAUACUAUCAAUCUUGAAUCAUCUAGAGGUAAGCGGAAUAUGUCAUGUAGCGGUGAAAUGCUUAGAUAUGACAUAGAACACCAAUUGCGAAGGCAGCUUACUAUGGAUGCAUUGACACUGAGGCACGAAAGCGUGGGGAUCAAACAGGAUUAGAUACCCUGGUAGUCCACGCCCUAAACGAUGGAUACUCGACAUUUGUGAUAUACAAUAAGUAGUCUGAGCGAAAGCAUUAAGUAUCCCACCUGGAAGUACGACCGCAAGUUGAAACUCAAAGUGAAAUUGACGG
rnacentral:rRNA from 1 species